UACGUAGGUGGCAAGCGUUAUCCGGAAUUAUUGGGCGUAAAGAGCGCGCAGGUGGUUGAUUAAGUCUGAUGUGAAAGCCCACGGCUUAACCGUGGAGGGUCAUUGGAAACUGGUCGACUUGAGUGCAGAAGAGGGAAGUGGAAUUCCAUGUGUAGCGGUGAAAUGCGUAGAGAUAUGGAGGAACACCAGUGGCGAAGGCGGCUUCCUGGUCUGCAACUGACACUGAGGCGCAAAAGCGUGGGGAGCAAACAGGAUUAGA
rnacentral:rRNA from 1 species